rnacentral:rRNA from 1 species
UCGCCCUUAUUAGAUACCCUGGUAGUCCGCGCGGUAAACGAUGGAUGCCCGCUGUCGGCGAUAUACAGUCGGCGGCCAAGCGAAAGCGUUAAGCAUCCCACCUGGGGAGUACGCCGGCAACGGUGAAACUCAAAGGAAUUGACGGGGGCCCGCACAAGCGGAGGAACAUGUGGUUUAAUUCGAUGAUACGCGAGGAACCUUACCCGGGCUUGAAUUGCAGAGGAAAGAUCCAGAGAUGGUGAUGCCCUUCGGGGCCUCUGUGAAGGUGCUGCAUGGUUGUCGUCAGCUCGUGCCGUGAGGUGUCGGCUUAAGUGCCAUAACGAGCGCAACCCCUUUCCCUAGUUGCCAUCGGUUCUAGCCGGGCACUCUGGGGACACUGCCUCCGCAAGGAGUGAGGAAGGUGGGGAUGACGUCAAAUCAGCACGGCCCUUACGUCCGGGGCUACACACGUGUUACAAUGGGUGAUACAGAGGGCCGGCCGCUGGCAACAUCGGUCCAAUCCUUAAAGUCAUCCUCAGUUCGGACUGGGGUCUGCAACCCGACCCCACGAAGCUGGAUUCGCUAGUAAUCGCGCAUCAGCCAUGGCGCGGUGAAUACGUUCCCGGGCCUUGUACACACCGCCCGUCAAGCCAUGAAAGCCGGGGGCGCCUGAAGUCCGUGACCGCGAGGGUCGGCCUAGGGUGAAACCGGUGAUUGGGGCUAAGUCGUAACAAGGUAGC